UACGGGGGGAGCAAGCGUUGUUCGGAUUUACUGGGCGUAAAGGGCGCGUAGGCGGUCGUGACAAGUCACUUGUGAAAUCUCCGGGCUUAACUCGGAACGGUCAAGUGAUACUGUCGGACUAGAGUACAGAAGGGGCAACUGGAAUUCUCGGUGUAGCGGUGAAAUGCGUAGAUAUCGAGAGGAAUACCAAAGGCGAAGGCAGGUCACUGGGCAGUUACUGACACUGAGGCACGAAGGCUAGGGGAGCAAACGGG
rnacentral:rRNA from 1 species